rnacentral:rRNA from 1 species
UUGCCUCUUGGACUGGGACAACUGUUGGAAACGACAGCUAAUACCGGAUAUUAUGAGAUUCUCGCAUGAGAAACUUAUGAAAGCUAUAUGCGCCAAGAGAGAGCCUUGCGUUCCAUUAGCUAGUUGGUGGGGUAACGGCCCACCAAGGCGACGAUGGAUAGCCGGCCUGAGAGGGUGAACGGCCACAAGGGGACUGAGACACGGCCCUUACUCCUACGGGAGGCAGCAGUGGGGAAUAUUGGACAAUGGGCCACAAGCCUGAUCCAGCAAUUCUGUGUGCACGAUGGAGGUCUUCGGAUUGUAAAGUGCUUUCAGUUGGGAAGAAGAAAGUGACGGUACCAACAGAAGAAGCGACGGCUAAAUACGUGCCAGCAGCCGCGGUAAUACGUAUGUCGCAAGCGUUAUCCGGAUUUAUUGGGCGUAAAGCGCGUCUAGGCGGAAAAAUAAGUCUGAUGUUAAAAUGCGGGGCUCAACUCCGUAUUGCGUUGGAAACUGUUUUUCUAGAGUACUGGAGAGGUGGGCGGAACUACAAGUGUAGAGGUGAAAUUCGUAGAUAUUUGUAGGAAUGCCGAUGGAGAAGUCAGCUCACUGGACAGAUACUGACGCUGAAGCGCGAAAGCGUGGGGAGCAA